UAUAUACUCCCUCCGUCCCGAAUUACUUGUCUUAGAUUUGAUGUAUCUAGACACGUUUUAGUGUUAGAAAUAUCCGUAUAUAGACCAAUCUAAGACAAGUAAUUUGGACGGAAGUAAUAUUAC
rnacentral:pre_miRNA from 1 species